rnacentral:rRNA from 1 species
AUUGAACGCUGGCGGCAGGCCUAACACAUGCAAGUCGAGCGGAUGAAGGGAGCUUGCUCCUGGAUUCAGCGGCGGACGGGUGAGUAAUGCCUAGGAAUCUGCCUGGUAGUGGGGGAUAACGUCCGGAAACGGGCGCUAAUCCCGCAUCCGUCCUGAGGGAGAAAGUGGGGGUUCUUCGGACCUCACGCUAUCAGAUGAGCCUAGGUCGGAUUAGAUAGUUGGUGGGGUAAAGGCCUACCAAGGCGACGAUCCGUAACUGGUCUGAGAGGAUGAUCAGUCACACUGGAACUGAGACACGGUCCAGACUCCUACGGGAGGCAGCAGUGGGGAAUAUUGGACAAUGGGCGAAAGCCUGAUCCAGCCAUGCCGCGUGUGUGAAGAAGGUCUUCGGAUUGUAAAGCACUUUAAGUUGGGAGGAAGGGCAGUAAGUUAAUACCUUGCUGUUUUGACGUUACCAACAGAAUAAGCACCGGCUAACUUCGUG